UACGUAGGGGGCGAGCGUUGUCCGGAUUUAUUGGGCGUAAAAGGCUUGUAGGUGGCCACGCGAAGUCGGAUGUGAAAUCUCCCGGCUCAACUGGGAGGGGUCAUUCGAUACUGGCGGGCUCGAGGCCGGUAGGGGGAAGCGGAAUUCCCGGUGUAGUGGUGGAAUGGCGUAGAUAUCGGGAGGAACACCAGUGGCGAAGGCGGCUUCC
rnacentral:rRNA from 1 species